GACGAACGCUGGCGGUGUGCUUAACACAUGCAAGUCGAACGGAAAGGCCCUGCUUUUGUGGGGUGCUCGAGUGGCGAACGGGUGAGUAACACGUGAGUAACCUUCCCUUGACUUUGGGAUAACUUCAGGAAACUGGGGCUAAUACCGGAUAGGAGCUCCUGCUGCAUGGUGGGGGUUGGAAAGUUUCGGCGGUUGGGGAUGGACUCGCGGCUUAUCAGCUUGUUGGUGGGGUAGUGGCUUACCAAGGCUUUGACGGGUAGCCGGCCUGAGAGGGUGACCGGCGACAUGGGGACUGAGAGACGGCCCAGACGCCUACGGGAGGCAGCAGUGGGGAAUAUUGCACAAUGGGCGGAAGCCUGAUGCAGAAACGCCGCGUGCGGGAUGACGGCCUUCGGGUUGUAAACCGCUUUCGCCUGUGACGAAGCGUGAGUGACGGUAAUGGGUAAAGAAGCACCGGCUAACUACGUG
rnacentral:rRNA from 1 species